rnacentral:misc_RNA from 1 species
AACGCAUCUUGCGCUCCUUGGCAUUCCGAGGAGCAUGCCUGUUUGAGUGUCGUGAACUACUCUCAAUUUCAAUCUUUUUUUAUAUUUGGCUUGAAAUUGGACUUGGGUGUUGCCGUGAAAAAGUCUAUUUCAUAGCUCAUCCUAAAUGCAUUAGCGAUCUUACCCCCUUGAUCACACACAAUGUGAUAAGAAAAAAGCAUUGUUUUUAAAGGUCAAUGUGGUUUGGAUAGCUUCUAAUCGUCGAAAGACAAGCACCUUCAUGUCAUUUGACCUCAAAUCAGGUAGGACUACCCGCUGAACUUAA